rnacentral:rRNA from 1 species
AGAGUUUGAUCCUGGCUCAGAACGAACGCGGGCGGCAGGCCUAAUACAUGCAAGUCGAGCGCGCCCUUCGGGGUGAGCGGCGGACGGGUGAGUAACGCGUGGGAAUAUGCCCUUCUCUAAGGAAUAGCCUCUGGAAACGGAGAGUAAUACCUUAUACGCCCUUCGGGGGAAAGAUUUAUCGGAGAAGGAUUAGCCCGCGUUAGAUUAGGUAGUUGGUGGGGUAAUGGCCUACCAAGCCUACGAUCUAUAGCUGGUUUGAGAGGAUGAUCAGCCACACUGGGACUGAGACACGGCCCAGACUCCUACGGGAGGCAGCAGUAGGGAAUCUUAGACAAUGGGGGCAACCCUGAUCUAGCCAUGCCGCGUGUGUGAUGAAGGCCUUAGGGUCGUAAAGCACUUUCGCCAGAGAUGAUAAUGACAGUAUCUGGUAAAGAAACCCCGGCUAACUCCGUGCCAGCAGCCGCGGUAAUACGGAGGGGGUUAGCGU